rnacentral:rRNA from 1 species
GACGAACGCUGGCGGCGUGCCUAAUACAUGCAAGUAGGACGCAGUUGCGAACGGGUGAGUAACGCGUAGGUAUAUACCUAUUAGAGGGGGAUAACUAUUGGAACUGAUAGCUCAUAACGCCUACUAGUAGAUGGACCUGCGUUGUAGUAGCUAGUAGGUAGGGUAAUGGCCUACCUAGGCAACGGUACAUAGCCGACCUGGGAGGGUGUACGGCCACACGGGGAAGGGAGACCGGCCCAGACUCCUACGGGAGGGAGCAGUAGGGAAACUUCGGCAAUGGGGGGAACCCUGACCGAGCAACGCCGCGUGAGUGAAGAAGGUUUUCGGAUCGUAAAGCUAUGUUGUUAAGGAAGCGGUACUUGACCAGGAAGGGACGGCUAACUACGUGCCAGCAGCCGCGGUAAUUC